rnacentral:tRNA from 1 species
GGGGUCUUGGCACAGUGGUAGCGCGCAUGCUUCGCACUUCCCGUGUAUGCAUGAGGUCGUGAGUUCAAUCCUCACAGUCUCCA